UACAAGUACCCCGUGAGGGAAAGUUGCAAAGCACUUUGAAGAGAGAGUUAAAGAGGACGUGAAACCGGUAAGGUGGAAACGGAUAGAGUCGGCGUAUCAUUCAAGUAUUCAGUUACAUUAUUUUUAUGUUGUGACCUCUGAGCUCCAGAUUGGGACAGAGGGAAUCAGCAUAAUUUUUUGUGGUGCAUUUACUUGAUUGGUGCUUGGGGAUGUUUGAGGCAGAUUUGUUUCCGCCGUUUUGAGGCCAGCUUGCUGGUACCCAAACGGUGUUAGCAUUUUUUGUCUUGGGCAUUUGAGUAUGGCUCACGUGUAUUUAUUGGACCGAUCUGAGUGUAAGUUACGGUCGCAUGCGACACGUGCUUUUCAAUUAGUUCGGUCCAGUUAAUGCUCUCGUACUCGUUCCCCAUGUAAAAGCCGGUCAUCUAUCCGACCCGUCUUGAAACACGGACCAAGGAGUUUAUCGUGUGCGCAAGUUUUUGGGUGUUAAAAACUUAAAAGCGAAAUGAAAGUAAAUGACUCUUUAGAGUCUGAUGUGCGAUCUUGUAAAAAAGUGCAGCAUGGCCCCAUUCUAACUGUUUACAGUAGGGUGGCGGAAGAGCGUACGCGGUGAGACCCGAAAGAUGGUGAACUAUUCCUGAGCAGGACGAAGCCAGAGGAAACUCUGGUGGAAGUCCGAAGCGGUUCUGACGUGCAAAUCGAUCGUCUGACUUGGGUAUAGGGGGCGAAAGACUAAUCGAACCAUCUAGUAGCUGGUUUCCUUUCCGAA
rnacentral:rRNA from 1 species